rnacentral:lncRNA from 1 species
CAGCAGCAAACGGCUUCCGAAGAACACACUAUCGCGGGGGCCGGGCAGCGGGCUACUGAGCAUCCCGCGGACAGCAGCAACACAGGCAGCGGCGGUGGCAGUGGCACCCGACGGGGAAGCAGCAGCCAAACCCGCGCAUGAUCUUGAGAGUUUCAGCAACAUCCAGUGACCCGGCUCAGCCCCGGGAGCGAGAGGGUCGUCCGCGGAGAAGCUGCGCCGGAGACGCGGGAGGCUAUGCCAUAAGGAGAGGACUCUGGCAAGCUGGGCAGCGGGAGGAGCCCGGAGUCCAGGGGCAGAGGAGAGGCGUUCAAGGAGGCAGGGUGGAGGGAAAGUCAACGCGCCCCGCAGCCUAGCAGCCGCCUCUCGCGCUCUGCCGCCCGCAUCCCUCUGGCGUUUGGGAAGCAGCAGGUCCUUAGCCCGCCCGGGAUCACGUGGGAAGAGGCAAUCGGGCGCUGAUUGGCGGAGCGGGAUGCAGGUCCCGGGAGGGAGGGGUCGGCGAGGAGGUGCAAGGAGGAGGCGACGACGACGGAUGCCACAGAUGGGCUAGCUCGCCAGGCGCUGGCCCGAGUGGGGCUGGGCGGGGAUGGCUCAAGUGAGAAGCUCAGGCUUCAGGGUGGGCGACCUCCACACCUUUAUAUACCACCUGCCCUUUCACUCUCCGCCCCAGGACGCCCCCUACCGAGCGCCGGGUCGGAUCCAGCGCCCCUCUUCUGUGCGUAACCCCGGGCUGCCGGCGCCGGCAGUGGCUGGGUGGCGUCUCUCGGAGCUGGAGCUGGUGAGGGUGGAGGUGGCGAAGGAGCGGUAGCAGCAGGGUAGAGAGGGGAAAGCGGGCACAGAGGAGAGGGCGUCCUGCUGGCGCCGGCGCUCCAGCGUGCGGGAGCGCGCCGCCUGGCUGUAACGGGAUACAGGCUGGGAAAAUCGCCGCGGAGAGCCCAGGGAUGUUUCUCUGGGGAGGAGCAGGGAGCAGGAGAGGGUGAGAGGCGCUGCUGUGAGAACAGCUCUGGCCAGCCUGGAAGCAGCAGCAGUUCCCAUAGGAGCCUGCGACCUCGAGGCUGCUCUCCAAGCUGGCUCAACCAGCCUUCCAGGCUCUCUGCACUUCCGUCUCUCUCCUCCCCUCCCUGGCCCCCUGCAGCCCUGAGCAGCCAAAGGUUUGAGGAGCCGAAGGUUCGAAGCCCUCUCUCCGUCACACGCUCGUCUCCAGCCGGGAGCCUAUUUGUGAGGCUGCCUGGGCGGUGCGGGCAAAUGUUUCGAAGUCAGAACCAGGAGCUUGAAUCAGUUUUGGAUGAAACCGCUUUUCAUGUCUGUCUUUGGCUGCUUGCGGCUUCGACUGAGCUAAAUUAGAAGUGGACUGCUCUCCGGCUUUGUGGAAAGAAUUAGUGACGGUAGUUCUUUCAAUUUGUGUUAUUAGCAGCAUCGAGUCUUUUAUGUUCUAAGCAUUUCAUUUAGUUUUUACAAUAAGCCUGCAUCAUUUCUCCCUCUAUUAUCUGUGACAUUGUAUUGCUUUUUGGUUUCUUUUGCUCAAAUUACUUGUCAGUGGCAGAGCAGGUCACUCAAGAACUAAUGUUCUCAAUCAUUUUGCUCCUCCUUCUACCUGUGUUCUCCCCAGCCCCAAAAUAAGAAAAAAUGGAGAAAAGAGGCUUCCAUCAUAAAAUAAAUUUGGGAAACGCUUCCUGUAAAUGCCA